UACGUAGGGUGCAAGCGUUAAUCGGAAUUACUGGGCGUAAAGCGCGCGCAGGCGGUUCGGAAAGAGAGGUGUGAAAUCUCCGGGCUCAACCUGGGAAUGGCGAUGGAUACUGGGCAGCUAGAGUGUGUCAGAGGAUGGUGGAAUUCCCGGUGUAGCGGUGGAAUGCGCAGAUAUCGGGAGGAACACCGGUGGCGAAGGCGGCACCCUGGGCCAGUCCUGACGCUGAUGCGCGAAAGCGUGGGGAGCAAACAGG
rnacentral:rRNA from 1 species